rnacentral:rRNA from 1 species
AGCAGUCGCCGCGGGAAUACGUAGGGUGCAAGCGUUAAUCGGAAUUACUGGGCGUAAAGCGUGCGUAGGCGGCUUCUUAAGUCGGAUGUGAAAUCCCUGAGCUUAACUUAGGAAUUGCAUUCGAUACUGGGAAGCUAGAGUAUGGGAGAGGAUGGUAGAAUUCCAGGUGUAGCGGUGAAAUGCGUAGAGAUCUGGAGGAAUACCGAUGGCGAAGGCAGCCAUCUGGCCUAAUACUGACGCUGAGGUACGAAAGCAUGGGGAGCAAACAGGAUUAGAUACCCGAGUAGUCCCUGUCUCUUAUAC